CCAUUUGAAGACUUUCAUAUGGAAUGGGAAUGUUGCUUGAUAUAUGCCAGUAACUCCAGUGAGAAGCACAAUAUUAAAGGGUAAGAUGUAAAAGACAACAGACAGGAUCACUUUCAGAAUCAGCCAUGAACUGGUCAAAGGGAUACAGGAUUUUCGUUUUGCAUCUGUGAGAGCACAUCCCUGCAGUGAUCAGAAGAUUCAGUAAGAAUGGGCGUCAUCACAGAAAACAACAAAUGAACAUUGAACAUAAAUGCCAUACUGAUUAUCACUAAAUAAACAGAAUAAAUAUUUAUAAUGGCUGAAUCUGUAUUCCUCCCCCCCCCGAUUCCUCAACAUCUGGUAAGUCAGG